rnacentral:rRNA from 1 species
UUAAGCGACUAAGCGUACACGGUGGAUGCCCUGGCAGUCAGAGGCGAUGAAGGACGUGCUAAUCUGCGAAAAGCGUCGGUAAGGUGAUAUGAACCGUUAUAACCGGCGAUGUCCGAAUGGGGAAACCCAGUGCAAUUCGUUGCACUAUCGUUAACUGAAUACAUAGGUUAACGAGGCGAACCGGGGGAACUGAAACAUCUAAGUACCCCGAGGAAAAGAAAUCAACCGAGAUUCCCCCAGUAGCGGCGAGCGAACGGGGAGCAGCCCAGAGUCUGAAUCAGCUUGUGUGUUAGUGGAACGGUCUGGAAAGUCCGACGGUACAGGGUGAUAGUCCCGUACACCAAAAUGCACAGGUUGUGAACUCGAAGAGUAGGGCGGGACACGUGGUAUCCUGUCUGAAUAUGGGGGGACCAUCCUCCAAGGCUAAAUACUCCUGACUGACCGAUAGUGAACCAGUACCGUGAGGGAAAGGCGAAAAGAACCCCGGCGAGGGGAGUGAAAAAGAACCUGAAACCGUGUACGUACAAGCAGUGGGAGCACCUUCGGGUGUGACUGCGUACCUUUUGUAUAAUGGGUCAGCGACUUAUAUUCUGUAGCAAGGUUAACCGUAUAGGGGAGCCGCAGGGAAACCGAGUCUUAACUGGGCGUUAAGUUGCAGGGUAUAGACCCGAAACCCGGUGAUCUAGCCAUGGGCAGGUUGAAGGUUGGGUAACACUAACUGGAGGACCGAACCGACUAAUGUUGAAAAAUUAGCGGAUGACUUGUGGCUGGGGGUGAAAGGCCAAUCAAACCGGGAGAUAGCUGGUUCUCCCCGAAAGCUAUUUAGGUAGCGCCUCGUGAAUUCAUCUUCGGGGGUAGAGCACUGUUUCGGCUAGGGGGUCAUCCCGACUUACCAACCCGAUGCAAACUACGAAUACCGAAGAAUGUUAUCACGGGAGACACACGGCGGGUGCUAACGUCCGUCGUGAAGAGGGAAACAACCCAGACCGCCAGCUAAGGUCCCAAAGUCAUGGUUAAGUGGGAAACGAUGUGGGAAGGCACAGACAGCCAGGAUGUUGGCUUAGAAGCAGCCAUCAUUUAAAGAAAGCGUAAUAGCUCACUGGUCGAGUCGGCCUGCGCGGAAGAUGUAACGGGGCUAAACCAUGCACCGAAGCUGCGGCAGCGACACUAUGUGUUGUUGGGUAGGGGAGCGUUCUGUAAGCCUGCGAAGGUGACCUGUGAGGGUUGCUGGAGGUAUCAGAAGUGCGAAUGCUGACAUAAGUAACGAUAAAGCGGGUGAAAAGCCCGCUCGCCGGAAGACCAAGGGUUCCUGUCCAACGUUAAUCGGGGCAGGGUGAGUCGACCCCUAAGGCGAGGCCGAAAGGCGUAGUCGAUGGGAAACAGGUUAAUAUUCCUGUACUUGGUGUUACUGCGAAGGGGGGACGGAGAAGGCUAUGUUAGCCGGGCGACGGUUGUCCCGGUUUAAGCAUGUAGGCUGGUUAUCCAGGCAAAUCCGGAUAAUCAAGGCUGAGGUGUGAUGACGAGGCACUACGGUGCUGAAGUAACAAAUGCCCUGCUUCCAGGAAAAGCCUCUAAGCAUCAGGUAACAUUAAAUCGUACCCCAAACCGACACAGGUGGUCAGGUAGAGAAUACCAAGGCGCUUGAGAGAACUCGGGUGAAGGAACUAGGCAAAAUGGUGCCGUAACUUCGGGAGAAGGCACGCUGGUGUGUAGGUGAAGCCCCUGCGGGUGGAGCUGAGACCAGUCGAAGAUACCAGCUGGCUGCAACUGUUUAUUAAAAACACAGCACUGUGCAAACACGAAAGUGGACGUAUACGGUGUGACGCCUGCCCGGUGCCGGAAGGUUAAUUGAUGGGGUUAUCCGUAAGGAGAAGCUCUUGAUCGAAGCCCCGGUAAACGGCGGCCGUAACUAUAACGGUCCUAAGGUAGCGAAAUUCCUUGUCGGGUAAGUUCCGACCUGCACGAAUGGCGUAAUGAUGGCCAGGCUGUCUCCACCCGAGACUCAGUGAAAUUGAACUCGCUGUGAAGAUGCAGUGUACCCGCGGCAAGACGGAAAGACCCCGUGAACCUUUACUAUAGCUUGACACUGAACAUUGAGCCUUGAUGUGUAGGAUAGGUGGGAGGCUUUGAAGCGUGGACGCCAGUCUGCGUGGAGCCAACCUUGAAAUACCACCCUUUAAUGUUUGAUGUUCUAACGUUGGCCCCUUACCGGGGUUGCGGACAGUGUCUGGUGGGUAGUUUGACUGGGGCGGUCUCCUCCCAAAGCGUAACGGAGGAGCACGAAGGUUAGCUAAUCCUGGUCGGACAUCAGGAGGUUAGUGCAAUGGCAUAAGCUAGCUUGACUGCGAGCGUGACGGCGCGAGCAGGUGCGAAAGCAGGUCAUAGUGAUCCGGUGGUUCUGAAUGGAAGGGCCAUCGCUCAACGGAUAAAAGGUACUCCGGGGAUAACAGGCUGAUACCGCCCAAGAGUUCAUAUCGACGGCGGUGUUUGGCACCUCGAUGUCGGCUCAUCACAUCCUGGGGCUGAAGUAGGUCCCAAGGGUAUGGCUGUUCGCCAUUUAAAGUGGUACGCGAGCUGGGUUUAGAACGUCGUGAGACAGUUCGGUCCCUAUCUGCCGUGGGCGCUGGAGAAUUGAGGGGGGCUGCUCCUAGUACGAGAGGACCGGAGUGGACGCAUCACUGGUGUUCGGGUUGUCAUGCCAAUGGCACUGCCCGGUAGCUAAAUGCGGAAGAGAUAAGUGCUGAAAGCAUCUAAGCACGAAACUUGCCCCGAGAUGAGUUCUCCCUGAGACUUUAAGUCUCCUGAAGGAACGUUAAAGACGAUGACGUUGAUAGGCCGGGUGUGUAAGCGCAGCGAUGCGUUGAGCUAACCGGUACUAAUGAACCGUGAGGCUUAACCU